rnacentral:misc_RNA from 1 species
UAUCAUUAUCCAACUCAUCUCCCCAUGUGAGCUCAUUUACUGUUGCAGAGCCUCUUACAUCUCCAUAUAAAUUAGCUUCUACGUUUUUCUUUAGUAGCCUCAGUCUAUCUGGGAGGUCAGUGAGAAUAACUUGAGCACCCAAAAGAGCUGCAACACAGCCAACUAAUCCACAGCCAGAGCCCAAUUCAACGACUUUCUUGCCUUGAAGAUGAAUUCUUUCUGAUUCUACAGCAUGCUCCAAGAA